UACGAAGGGGGCUAGCGUUGCUCGGAAUUACUGGGCGUAAAGGGCGCGUAGGCGGAUAUUUAAGUUGGGGGUGAAAUCCCGGGGCUCAACCUCGGAAUUGCCUUCAAAACUGGAUAUCUUGAGUUCGGGAGAGGUGAGUGGAACUCCGAGUGUAGAGGUGAAAUUCGUAGAUAUUCGCAAGAACACCAGUGGCGAAGGCGGCUCACUGGCCCGGAACUGACGCUGAGACGCGAAAGCGUGGGGAGCAAACAGG
rnacentral:rRNA from 1 species